AGUGAACGCUGGCGGCGUGCCUAAUAUAUGCAAGUCGAACGGAGUGUCGCACGGGAGAGUAAUGUAUAGCUAAUCUGCCCUACACUAGAGGACAACAGUUGGAAACGACUGCUAAUACUCUAUAGUGUAGGAUGAGUCUAUAUUGUAUCAGCUAGUUGGUGAGGUAAUGGCUCACCAAGGCUAUGACGCAUAACUGGUCUGAGAGGAUGAUCAGUUAAGCUUGAGAUUGGACACGGACCGGACGCCUACGGGAGGCAACGGAAGGGAAUAUUGCUCAACGGGGGAAACCCUGAAGCAGCAACGCCGCGUGGAGGAUGACACUUUGCGGAGCGUAAACUCAUUUUGAUAAGGAAGCGGUACCUAACGAAUAAGCACCGGCUAACUCCGUGCCAGCAGCCGCGGUAAUUC
rnacentral:rRNA from 1 species